GUUUGAAGUUUCUGUCCUGGGACAGAUUAAAAAUGAUAUGUAUAUAUACAUAUAUUAUUGCUAUCAAAAAUUCUUUAUGUUAAGCUAAAAUUAUAUCAGCAAACAUCAGGUUCAUUUAGUAGCAAUGAGGAAGAUUCACUGAGAUGAGCUCCUGUAUAUUUCAGCUAAGUAUUUUCUUCUAUGCUUUAUUUUCAGAUUUGGAACAGCAACUUCAGGCUCUACCUGCAGUAGCAAUACAAAAUAUUCAAGUAUAUAAAUUGUUUGCUAUAUUUUUAUUAGCUGUUGUACCAGCCAACCUUCUUUCCUGAUGGUAGUCUUGUAUUCCCCGUAGCUGGCUUUGAAGAUGGAAGAAACACAGCUGUUACCGUUGCUGCAGUUAGCUCAAAGCUGUGGGGUCCUGGGCGUUGAUGACAUAUCCUAGACCAGAUUGUAGCAGCAACAAUCAAGAACUAGAGCAGUCCCCUUUGACUGUUUCAGCACACUUUGGAUCAGGGACACAGAGGAAAAAGUUAUUUUUAACAGCUAUUUCACUCAGGAGGAUUGACAAUGCAGUGGACACCUGCUGUGACCAAAGAAACCUUCAGUGAAAUGGGAGAUUGAAUUUAAUACAAAAAUGCAGCAUGGAUGAUCCAUCUCACAACAGUUCUUCAGGAGUACUGUUGAGUGGUCUCAGCAAUAGCUCGUAGAUUAUACACCAAAGAAGGGGAAGAACAAAGGAUGCUGUCUGUCCUAAAGAGAUAAUAAAAUAAAGAUGGACAGAAAAAGAAUCA
rnacentral:lncRNA from 1 species